AGUGAACGCUGGCGGUAGGCCUAACACAUGCAAGUCGAACGGCAGCACAGAGGAGCUUGCUCCUUGGGUGGCGAGUGGCGGACGGGUGAGGAAUACAUCGGAAUCUACUCUGUCGUGAGGGAUAACGUAGGGAAACUUACGCUAAUACCGCAUACGACCUACGGGUGAAAGCAGGGGACCUUCGGGCCUUGCGCGAUUGAAUGAGCCGAUGUCGGAUUAGCUAGUUGGCGGGGUAAAGGCCCACCAAGGCGACGAUCCGUAGCUGGUCUGAGAGGAUGAUCAGCCACACUGGAACUGAGACACGGUCCAGACUCCUACGGGAGGCAGCAGUGGGGAAUAUUGGACAAUGGGCGCAAGCCUGAUCCAGCCAUACCGCGCGGGUGAAGAAGGCCUUCGGGUUGUAAAGCCCUUUUGUUGGGAAAGAAAUCCAGCUGGCCAAUACCCGGUUGGGAUGACGGUACCCAAAGAAUAAGCACCGGCUAACUUCGUGCCAGCAGCCGCGGUAA
rnacentral:rRNA from 1 species